CGGGAAUCCAAUAAAUAACUUGAAUGUAAAUAAAAGUAAUUAAAGAACUCAGGAAUUAUGAAUUGAAGAACCUGGAGAACGAUGAAGAACGAACCAGUUGCUGCAAAAGUACAAUGUUGAGGAAGAUCCGACAGAUCCGGCUCCUCCUCCGCUCUCCUCUUCUCUCUCCCUAUUUUCUAGAUUACAACUAGAACUAACUAGAACUAGAACUAGAAGAACUAGAACUAGAACUAGAUGAACUAGAACUAGAACUAGAUGAACUAGAGGUAAAACUAGAAGAACUAGAGGGAUCCUCUCUACUUGGAUGAAGAAUUGAAACCCUAACUUUGAUUCUGUAGAAGAGGUAUGAUCUCCAGGGGCCAGGGGGUCUGGUUUUAUAGUCCCUUCAGAUGAAUCUUGGUCGUUGGAUCAAACCAACAUUGAUUGAAUGGUUAUCUUUGAUCCUUUAGGUCGGUGGAGCAAUAUCCCGAAAGAGAGUCCCGUUUGGACUCUAGGAGGGGGCGGGCGCCCAGGUCAACUGGGCGGGCGCCCAGUGCCUGGCCCCGUUCGGCCUCCGCUUCCUUCCCGUGGCUUCUGGAGUCUUCUAGAUGGUAGAAAAUUGUGCGGCACGUUAAUAUCUCUUUGUAAACCCGACGUGUGGGCCUUUCCUCCAUAUUUCCUGAUAACCGCCUGCAGAAAUAGACAAACACCAAAACUCGUGGAAUUCUGUCAGAUAAAACCCUAAGUCUAGGUGUUGGUUGCAUUUGGAUCCUUUUCCAUGAUUAAUUGAUGGUUAAAUAUGAGCAUUAAGGACCGUCAACAAGCUCCCCUAAGCUUAACUUUUUCUCUUCCCUGAGCAAGGAUGAACUCAAGAGUUUCUGCAGUGGUUUCAUGCCUUAAAGAUACACAUGCGUUCAAACAAGAUCUCAUCUCUAGGUUAGGGUAAACUGUUAAGAUUUAAAUUUACUCAUUUUACCUUCCACCAUGGGGCUUGCAACCGUCACUUAUGUCUUGAGCAGUUAAAAGAUAGAAUGGUCUAGUCAAGCGCCAUGUCUCUUGUUCUUCGAUUAACUAUAGCUCUGGAGUUUUUGCAGAUUUUCAAAUAAAACUCAGAGAUUCCUUGUAUGACUCUCUCUAGUCUCUCAUUUGUGGUAUUUCUAGAUCCUUACCAAGGCAGUGAUGGUAUAUGCCUUCUCUCAAAGUAUGUGGUAUUUGUAGUAUGAAGCAUAGUGGCAUUGCCUUCUCUCUCACCCUACUCUAAUAAGGUUUUGAUAUCUGGAACUCAUAGGUGGGAGACAGCUAAUACGUACUUACAAGACAUUUAUUGCAUAGUCAAACCAUGGAUCCAGAAGAACAAGGCAAUAAGUCAAAUCAAGAUGUGCAUAUGAGGCGAAUGAAUGGUGUAUGGUGAUGAUGGUGAUAACAAUGGUGAAAGUCUAAUUCUACUUGUGCUCUUUUGAGGGGAUACAUACCUUUCUUGCUCUUUUGAAACUUUUUGAGGAGAAUGAGAUGCUCUAUAUUUUCUUUUUCUUUUCUCUCAGGUGGGUAUCUUGUACCCCUAAUUCUACUGUCGGACACUUGUCCAUUUUUACCUCUCGUCUCACUUUUUCUUUUCUUUCAAGGUUCCGGGCACUUGCCCCUUUUAUUUCCUCGUAUCUUUUUUUCUUCUCUUUUUUUUCUUUUUUAGAGCACUCAUCUCUUGAAAUAAUGUAGCAAGUGGUAGUAACCAAGAUAACUUGAGCAUUUAUUUCACAGGUGAAAAUAGAAAUGUUUUUGGCCAUUCUCUCCCGGAUUAGGAGUAGAAUGUUUUUGGGUGGUUCUGGAGAUGGAAAUGGGUGGAUAUAUGUGGAUGGUACUUCCAGAGUGGAAGCAGCAUAUAUGAGUGAACGUGCAAGUGAAUCUUGAUUUUAACCACAUGACAAGCUCCUAAGGGUCUACACAGCUUGACCACACUCAAUGCUCAUAAGCAGUAAAAAGUAAAUGUGUGGCUCAAAGUCUAGCAAGCAUGUAUAUAUGGCUAUGGUAGGAAUUUAAACUCUCAUCAUACAGGAACUCAUCAUGUGUUAUUUUAAAUAUUUUCAAAGAUAAAAUUCUCCAUAAUUCUAGCAUCUCUAGGAACAGAUAAACAACAGCUCAACCUUCCCAUAUCAUAUCCGUUAACGACUUAGACUUCAGAUCAAGUACUCUUCCCACAAGUUCAGGUUUAGAGCAAAUCUUAAUUAAUAACAGUCAUUCCUAAACUUGAGAGAGAUUUCAAUUUUGAGAACUAGUCAUGGCAGAGCAACUAUUCAUCAUUUCCAUGUGAGAGCUUAUCAUGAGGGUUCAUAGCAAACUUUAUUUAUUUAUUUAUUUAGCAAACUAAGCAAAGAUAUAUAUGUAAGCAUAAAAUCGUUAUUUGGGUUUUUAUGAUUAUGCAUCUUAUUAUUAUUUGAGUAAAAUAUAAACGUGAGUAGAACACUUAGCUAGAUAAAUGGGGGUGCUCUCCCCCAAGCUGGAUUUUGACCUAAUUUUUUCUGAUGUAGCUAGCAGGUGGCGGAGAUGUAUUUGAAUGUCGGCAGCACUCUGUCAGCGAUUAGGAUGUCCUCCAUCUGCUAGUCUUCUUUGAUCUUUGAAUUCUGUGGAGCUCAAAUAGACAACAAAGCUUUGUGGAACUAGUUAAGUGUUAGCAUAAAUAUCUAGCCUUUAUCAUGUUGAGCUUCCUCAAUAAAUGUUACUCUCUUUAGUAGGAUCACAAUCUUAUUUAUAUUUUCAUUUUUAUAGGACAGGAAUAUAUAUUUAUUUUAUUUUUACGCCACCACAGUGAAUGUACUUAUGGGUUUUAUGCCAUGAUCAUACUCACAUGGGGCUUACUAUUUUUUUAACAUUUUUAUUUUCUUUUCGAGAUGAUAUGAACCUGAUUAACUAAGCAAACUAUUUUAAAUAAUUGAAAGGAAAAAGAUAACUACCAACUUUACCUCUUGGCAAGGCGUUCUGUGUUUUUAAGUCCUUCGAACAGGACUCUCCGUUUUCUCAGUCGUCCUGGGAUUCGCUGGGUGGCGUAGUCGGUGAUUCCUACGACGUCUGCUCUUCAUGUAUAACUAUCUUCUUUCUCCACACCUGACUCGGUGCUACGGUCUCCUUAGGACAGUUCUGUUCAAGCUGUAUGUCUUCAGACCUUACUACUUCUCCUUCGUAGUCUACCCAUCCAUCCUUGAUGAUUUGCCUCCUCUGGUUACGGUUGCGUCAUCUUCUUCUUGUACUAACCUGCUUAGGGUCUUCAACUAUAUAGUCAGUAAAAUAGCGGCGUACCUUCUCAGAGGGGAAGUGCAUGUGGACUUCUCCAGUUCCAAUGUAGAUGAUUGCUUUAACGGUGCUGAGGAACGGUCUUCCAAGGAUGAUGGGUGGAUCGUACUUGUCUUCAACCUUUCGGAAUGUCUGAUCUGCCAUCUGGAGCUGAAUGUAUGUCGAUUUUAGGGGCAUGGUUCCGAACAGGAGCUGAUAGGUGACUGCAGCCAUUAUGUUGACGCCUGACCCGGUGUCGCAAAGUGUCUUCUAAAAAGAAUAUCCGUUGAUUGUGCACUUGAUGCUUGGAACACUAGGGUCGUCCUUCUUGAUCAAGAACGGUGACUUAAAUCGACAAUCUUGACCUCCUUGAACUGCAGUGACCAUCUUAGUUGACUUGGUCCACAUUUUCUUGUUCCUGUCCCUCCUGUUGGUCCUCUUCCUUGGUUCAUGUUGGGAUUGCUCUGAGAUUUGUGUAGUCUUGUUCUUGAAGGAAAACGUCUCCUUCCAUCCCUUGAUGUAGAAACUGAUCUUGGCAGCACUAGCGUAGAUGACAGCUCCUGAGGUGUUCAGGAAUGGCCUCCCUAGGAUGGGUGCCCUCUCAUCAGUACCAGUCUCUAUCACCACGAAGUCUGCUGGGGCGUACAAGGUACCAACUCGGACGCAGAGGUUCUUCAAUAUUCCCUUUGGGAACUUAGUGUCUGAUCUGCAGGCUGCAAGCACACGGUUGUUUCUAGUAAAGGAUGUGUAAAGAAUUUUUUUCAUAGAGUACCCUGGGCAUAAUGUUGAUGCUGGAACAAAGUCGCAGAGUGCUUCUAGGAAGUCCACCCUGCCGAUGGAGAUCGGGAUGACGGGGCAUCCUGGGUUGUCUCUCUUGACUGGCAGAAGGUCAGUAAUUACUUACACAAUAGGGUUACUCUAGUAGUUAUGUCCUCAAGCAUCUCAGGGCAGUGGUUGCCUGAGUGUCCAGUAUCUUCAUUGUGUUUGUGCUCGUAGAUCUAGGUUCUUCACUUGGUGGAGUGUGGGAGUUGUAAAACUCCUUCAUAUUUUGCUCGAAGUGUACCUGCUCAUAGAGACAAGGCAGAGAUCAAGUGCAUGGGCCCUAUUGGUGGAAAACACCAACAGAACCAAAAGUGUAUUUGUUCUUCUCUAACCUUAAGCAUAGUGAGCAAGACAAAGUUGAUGGAUAAUAAGAUCAUGAGUAUAACAUUUAAAACAUUUGUCAGAUCAAAUCGCUCAACCUAAUGGAAAGAUAAUCUAUCUAUAUUUAUGAUGUUUUUUUUAUAAAAUAUAUCUUCCAAAGAUUGAGUGUGCAACAUUUUAGUUCAUAAGAUUAGGAGUGUGGGAUCACAAUGGUGGAAGGACUAAACAUGUUGAAUCUAUUGGGUUGGUUAAUCUAGAGUUGUAAAUCAUACAUGUUUAUCUCUUUAUUCAUGUGAACUCUAGAACCAAGGAGAAACUUAUAAAAGUGAUAGUCAAGUACCUUAAGAUAUUACCUUACUUGAAGAGUGAUGGUAUAGUAUCACCUUGUGGAAGCUUUCCUCUCUUAGCGGUUGUGCAUCGUGUUUGUGGCACCCUCCAUGGAUCAUCUCUUGUGAGCUAUGCCUUCCUCAUGCAAAUUGUUAAACUUCAUGUGUCUCUCUCUUUGUCUCCAAUGUGAGUUUAUCUCAGGACUUCCCAGGUCGAUAUUGAAAGUUUUCCUGUAGGGGUUAGUCCAACAAAAUAUCCAAUAUCUACUAUAGCAUACUAUCGGCUCAAAGAUCAACCUAGACACCAUGUCUAAUUUGAUUUAGGAGGGAAUUUUAACCUAAGCAUCAUGCUUAAUUUAAAAUCCUUUGGAAGUAAGAUCAUCAUUCCUAAACUAAGCACCAUGCUUAAUUAAGAGAUAAAUGAAACUACUCCCACCUAGACAUAAACUAAAGCAAAUAAAGGCACCAUGAGAGCAUUUAUAGAGAUCUACUCAAGUGGAGAUUGUUGGGUAUUUUAAACGCAAACAGAAAAAUCCGCAAGCGCACGGAUACCGAUGUAGCUUUCACCCGGGAGUAUUCCAGAGUAUCGAUUUUCCACAGAGAACGUGAGUGUACUAAUUAAGAUCCAAGAUCGCCCAAGGAUAACUAUAUAAUUAUUUUUGGUGGGAAGAGAGGAAGUUUCCUGAGAGUUCUCUAGUUGAUCUAAGAAUCAAGAAUUACUUCAAGAUUAUCUAUAUCGGGGCAUCAGAGCACUAACCACAGAAAGAGAUGAGAAGGGGACUAGGAAGGUCUGACUACGGUCCUACAAACACCGAUCCGAACGAGGUGGAAUACGUCGACCGUUAGGGCUGUCACUACCCUAAGGCUACCACAACAAUCCGCAAGAUUGGGUGCAAUUCCAGGUAAUUGCAAGACUAAACACCACGUCUAAUCUAUUAAUUACUACUCUAGCGUUAUAAAGACUAGAGCACUUGAUGCAAGCGGGAAUCCAAUAAAUAACUUGAAUGUAAAUAAAAGUAAUUAGAGUACUCAGGAAUUAUGAAUUGAAGAACCUGGAGAACGAUGAAGAACGAACCAGAUGCUGCAAAAGUAUAAUGUUGAGGAAGAUCCGACAGAUCUGGCUCCUCCUCCGCUCUCCUCUUCUCUCUCUCUAUUUUCUUGAUUACAACUAGAACUAACUAGAACUAGAACUAGAGGAACUAGAACUAGAACUAGAUGAACUAGAACUAGAUCUAGAUGAACUAGAGGUAGAACUAGAAGAACUAGAGGGAUCCUCUCUAUUUGGAUGAAGAAUUGAAACCCUAGCUUUGAUUCUGUAGAAGAGGUAUGCUCUCCAGGGGCCAGGGGGCCUUGCUUAUAUAGUCUUUUCAGAUGAAUCUGGGCCGUCGGAUCAAACCGACAUUAAUCGCACGGUUUUCCUUGGUCCCUUAGGUCGGUGGAGCACGAUCCGCGAAGUUGAAGCUGAUUGGUUACUGUAGCUGGGCGGGAACCCAAGGGACUUGGGCGGGCGCCCUGCCCUCGGGCCCGAUCGGCCUCCCGUUCGUUUCUGUGGCUUCUGGAGUCUUCUAGAUGGUAGAAAAUUGCGCGGCACGUUAAUAUCUCUAUGUAAACCCGACGUGUGGGCCUUUCUUUCAUAUUUCCUGAUAACCACCUGCAGAAAUAGACAAACACCAAAACUCGUAGAAUUCUGUCAGAUAAAACCCUAAGUCUAGGUGUUGGCUGCAUAUAAGUCUUUUUCCAUAAUUAGUUGAUGGUUAAAUGUGAGCAUUAAGGACCGUCAACAAGCUCCCCCAAGCUUAACCUUUGCUCGUCCCUGAGCAAAGAUGAACUCAAGAAUUUCUGCAGUGGUUUCAAUACAUGCGUUCAAACAAGAUCUCAUCUCUGGGUUAGGGUAAACUGUUAAGAUUUAAAUUUACUCAUUUUUCCUUCCACCAUGGGGCUUGCAACCGUCACUUGUGUCUUGAGUAGUUAAAAGAUAGAACGGUCUAGUCAAGCGCCAUGUCUCUUGUUCUUGAUCAACUAUAGCUCUGGAGUUUUUGCAGAUUUUCAAAUAAAACUCAGAGAUUCCUUGUAUGACUCUCUCUAGUCUCUCUUUUGUGGUAUUUCUGGAUCCUUACCAAGGCAAUAAAGGUGUAUGCCUUCUCUCAAAGUAUAUGGUAUUUUUGGUAUGUGGCAUAGUGGCAUUGCCUUCUCUCUCACCCUACUCUAAUAAGGUUUUGAUAUCUGGAGCUCAUAGGUGGGAGACAACUAAUACAUACUUACAAGAUAUUUAUUGCAUAGUCAAACCAUGGAUCCAGAAGAACAAGUCAAUAAGUCAAAUCAAGAUGUGCAUGUGUGGCGAAUGAAUGGUGUAUGGUAAUGAUGGUGAUAACAAUGGUGAAAGUCUAAUUCUACUUGUGCUCUUUUGAGGGGAUACAUACCUUCCUUGCACUUUGAAGCUUUUUUAGGGGAAUGAGAUGCUCUAUAUUUUCCUUUUGUUUUCUUUUCUCUCAGGUGGGUAUCUUGUACCCCUAAUUCUACUGUCGGACACUUGUCCAUUUUUACCUCUCGUCUCACUUUUUCUUUUCUUUCGAGGUUUCGGGCACUUGCCCCUUUUUAUUUCCUCGUAUUUAUUUUUUUUCUUUCUCUUUUUUUAGAGCACUCAUCUCAUGAGAUAAUGUAGCAAGUGGUAGUAACAAGAUAACUUGAGAAUUUAUUUCACAGGGGAAAACAGAAAUGUUUUUGGCUAUUCUCUCCCGGAUUAGGAGUAGAAUGUUUUUAGGUGAUUCUAGAGAUGGAAAUGGGUGGAUAUAUGUGGAUGCGUACUUCCGGAGUAGAAGCAGCAUGUAUGAGUGAACGUGCAAGUGAAUCUUGAUUUAACCACAUGACAAGCUCCUAAGGGUGUAUACAGCUUGACCACACUCAAUGCUCAUAAGCAGUAAAAAGUAAAUGUGUGGCUCAAAGUCUAGCAAGCAUGUAUAUAUGGCUGUGGUAGGAAUUUAAACUCUCAUCAUACAGGAACUCAUCAUGCAACAUUUUAAAGAUUUUCAAAGAUAAAAUUCUCCAGAAUUCUAGCAUCUCUAGGAACAGAUAAACAGCAGCUCAACCUUCCCAUAUCAUAUCCGUUAACGACUUAGACUUUAGAUCAAGUACUCUUCCCACAAGUUCAGGUUUAGAGCAAAUCUUAAUUAAUACCAGUCAUGCCUAAACUUGAGAGAGAUUUCAGUUUUGAGAACUAGCCAUGGCAGAGCAAUUAUUCAUCAUUUCCAUGUGAGAGCUUAUCAUGAGGGUUCAUAGCAAACUUUAUUUAUUUAUUUAUUUAGCAAACUAAGCAAAGAUAUAUAUAAGCAAAAAAAAUCUUUAUUUGGGAUUAUAUGAUUAUGCAUCCUUUUAUUAUUAGAGUAAAGUAUAAACAUGAGUAGAAUACUUAGCUGGAUAAAUGGGGGUGCUCUCCUCCAAGCUGGAUUUCGACAUAAUUUCUUCUGAUGUAGCUAGCAGGUGGCGGAGGUGUAUUUAAAUGUCGGCAGCACCCUGACAGUGAUUAGGAUGUUCUCCGUCUACUAGUCUUCUUUGAUCCUUGAAUUCUGUGGAGCUCAAAUAGACAACAAAGCUUUGUGAAACUAGUUAAGUGUUAGCAUAAAUAUCUAGCCUUUAUCAUGUUGAGCCUCCUCAAUAAAUGUUACUCAUUAGCAGGAUCAUAAUUUUAUUUUUAUAAUUUUAUUUUUAUAGGACAGGAAUAUAUUUAUUUCAUUUUUAUGCCACCACAGUGAAUGUACUUAUGGGUUUUAUGCCAUGAGCAUAAUCACAUGGGGCUUACUAUUUUUAUUUUCUUUUCAAGAUGAUAUGAACCUAAUUAACUAAGCAAACUAUUUUAAAAUAAUUGAAAGGAAAAAGAUAACUACCAAGUUUACCUCUUGGCAAGGCGUUCGGUGUUUUUAAGUGUUCCGAACGGAACUCUCCAUUUUCUCAGUCGUCCUGGGAUUCGCUCGUCCUCGGAUUCGCUGGAUGGCGUAGUCGGUGGUUCCGGCGGUGCCUGCUCUUCGUGUAUAACUAUCUUCUCUCUCCACACCUGAUUCGGUGCUACGGUCUCCUCAGGAUAGUUCUGUUCAAGCUUUAUGUCUUCAGACCUUACUACUUCUCCUUCGUAGUCUGCUCAUCCGUCCUUGAUGAUUUGCCUCCUCUGGUUGCGGUUGUGUCGUCUUCUUCUUGUCCUGACCUGCUUAGAGUCUUCAACUAUAUAGUUAAGGUCAGUAACAUAGCGGCGUACCUUCUCAGAGAGGAAGUACAUGUGGACUUCUCCGUUUCCAAUGUAGAUGAUUGCUUUAACGGUGCUGAGGAACGGUCUUCCAAGGAUGAUGGGUGGAUCGUUCUCGUCUUCUCCUAUGUUAAUAACUUUAACCUUCCGGAAUGUCUGAUCUGCCAUCUGGAGCUGAAUGUAUGUCGGUUUUAGGGGCAUAGUUCUGAAUAGGAGCUGAUACAUGACUGGGUCAUCCUUUUUGGUCAGGAACGGUGACUUAAGUCGACGAUCUUGACCUCCUUGAACUGGAGUGACCAUCUUAGCUGACUUGGUCCAAAUUUGUUGUUCCUGUUCCUCCUGUUGGUCAUCUUCCUUGGUUCAUGUCGGGAUUGCUCUAGGAUUUGUGUAGUCUUGUUCCCAAAGGAAAACGUCUUCUUCCUCCCCUUGAUGUAGAAACUGAUCUUGGCAGCACUAGCGUAGAUGAUAGCUCCCGAGGUGUUCAGGAAUGGCCUCCCUAGGAUGAUGGGU
rnacentral:lncRNA from 1 species